CCUUUGCAGUAGCCUCUUGUCCACUUGCCCUUCUGUCCACUUCUUGUCCACUUCUCUCUGCCUGCCCAGCCGACCAGCCAGCGCUGCUGGGUCACUCUCCCCAACUCCCUGGAACUAUUCUCUGUCCCAGGGAAUAUUUAUUGAGCAUCUUCUACAUGCCAAAUCCUGUGCCGGGGCUGGAAUUCUUGUGCUGACCCUGGAGACCAGAGAAAUGUUUUCUGCUCUGUUCUUAUUGGCUGGACCCGGGCCUCCUCCCACCUCCGGCUGCAGCUGUGAAGGGAAGAAAGCUUUGCCUGGUCCCCAAAAGGUAGCCUAUUCACUGGUUCCAGGAUGAGGACGUGGACAUCUUUGGUCAAGAGCGGGGCGCUGGGGUGCCUGCCACACACGUGAAUGGAGAUGCUUCCAGGUGAGCCCGGCCCCUACCUCUUCGAGCUCCCACAGCCGUCUGAGUCUUCCCAGUCCAGACCCCGGACCUCAAGGAACUGAGACAAGCCUUCAGCUUGUCUGGUUGUUCUGUGAGUCACUCUGCUUGCAAUUGUUUUUCACGCACCAACUGAUAACUUUUACAAGCCUCAGGAUUCUCAUCAUAUUCAAAACACUUCGCCUGCUUUGGUGUUUUACACAAUGCUUAUAAAAUUAUACAUUUAUGGGUUUCCUUCCUUCUUUUCUGUCUUCCCCAACAAAUAUAAGGUCAGGGGAAUUAAUGCUUGUUGCUAUGUAAACAACACCCAACCAUGCCUUCUAGAUAUUUGUUCAACAAAUUCAAGUCACCUCCCAUCAGACUAAGUUCUCUGAGGUUUAAAACCAGUCUUUCUUGAUAAUCACUGGUUUCCCAAAACCCCAAGUGGGUCCCAGCACAGGGAAGGGAAGGGAAGGGGUUCAGC
rnacentral:lncRNA from 1 species